rnacentral:rRNA from 1 species
GACGAACGCUGGCGGCGCGCCUAACACAUGCAAGUCGAACGGAGUUAUUUGAAAGCUUGCUUUUGGAUAACUGAGUGGCGGACGGGUGAGUAACGCGUGAGUAACCUGCCUUAAAGAGGGGGAUAACGUCUGGAAACGGACGCUAAUACCGCAUGACAUAUUGUUUUCGCAUGGAGACGAUAUCAAAGGAGCAAUUCGCUCUGGGAUGGACUCGCGUCCGAUUAGCUGGAUGGUGAGGUAACGGCCCACCAUGGCGACGAUCGGUAGCCGGACUGAGAGGUUGAUCGGCCACAUUGGGACUGAGACACGGCCCAG